UUUGCGGCAGUGAAUAUUUUUGUAUUUUGUGCAUUUCGUUUGAUCUUUUGGUUUUCUUUCACGACUUUCGCUACGCUUAACAACAACAGCAUAACAACAACACAACGACGUUUUUUACAUAUUAGUUGACAAUUCUCGCAGAGGAAGGUAUAUUAUGAUGAUAGGUGUAAUAAAUAAGACUGAUUGACUGGAUACGUACGACUUUAUUAUUUAGACUUUAGACUCAAAGACAUGACUCGACAUUACAUUAUUACGAACGAACAAGACAAAAAGAAGACAUAGACAAUAGAUAUAAUAUAACAGAUAAUAAAUUAAGGAUAUACAACAUCUCUCUUUUUAUAAAAUAAAGUUUACAUUUAAACUUUUAACUUAUACUGAAAACAAUACAUAACAUAUUAACACCACUACAAAUUUACAAAUUCAACUUAACUGGUUUCUUAAUUACUCUACCUGAUCUACUUUUAUUACAGUUCUCCUGGAAAUUGAUAUUCUUAUCUAAUUCUUUAUUAUUAGUAUCCAUCUGCCUGUUCCUCUGCUGACUAUCCCUUUCCUCAGAAUUGUUGGAUUGCAUCUCAUCAAACUUAUGACAACUAUCAUUACAAUUAAAUUUAAUUAAAAAUCUUUUCCUUCUAUAUCUUUUACCUUCAGCGUCUUCUAUUAUAUAUGAACGUUGACAAUCUAAUCUUUUAAUGACUUUUCCAGGAAGCCAAUCUGAGUUAGGCAUUUUUUUAAAAGUUAUAUAAUCUCCUGGCUGUAAUAAUGGUAAUUGUUUCUUAUUUCUAUCAUAGUAAAUUUUACUCCAAACACGAUUUUUCUCAAAAU
rnacentral:misc_RNA from 1 species